CUACGGGUUGCUCCAGUGGGGAAUCUUGCACAAUGGGCGGAAGCCUGACGCAGCGACGCCGCGUGCGGGAAGAAGGCCUUCGGGUCGUAAACCGCUUUCAGCAGGGACGAGGCCGCGAGGUGACGGUACCUGCAGAAGAAGCCCCGGCUAACUACGUGCCAGCAGCCGCGGUAAUACGUAGGGGGCGAGCGUUAUCCGGAUUCAUUGGGCGUAAAGCGCUCGUAGGCGGCCUGUUAGGUCGGGAGUCAAAUCCGGGGGCUCAACCCCCGCACGCUCCCGAUACCGGCGGGCUUGAGUUUGGUAGGGGAAGGCGGAAUUCCAAGUGUAGCGGUGGAAUGCGCAGAUAUUUGGAAGAACACCGGUGGCGAAGGCGGCCUUCUGGGCCAACACUGACGCUGAGGAGCGAAAGCUAGGGGAGCGAACAGGAUUAGAUACCCGAGUAGUC
rnacentral:rRNA from 1 species